rnacentral:rRNA from 1 species
CGCUGGCGGCGUGCCUAACACAUGCAAGUCGAACGGAACUCGGGACUUCGGUUCUGAGUUUAGUGGCGGACGGGUGAGUAACACGUGAGCAAUCUGCCUUUCAGAGGGGGAUACCAGUUGGAAACGACUGUUAAUACCGCAUAACAUAUCGAGAUCGCAUGAUAUUGAUAUCAAAGAUUUAUCGCUGAAAGAUGAGCUCGCGUCUGAUUAGAUAGUUGGUGAGGUAACGGCUCACCAAGUCGACGAUCAGUAGCCGGACUGAGAGGUUGGACGGCCACAUUGGGACUGAGACACGGUCCAGACUCCUACGGGAGGCAGCAGUGGGGAAUAUUGGGCAAUGGGCGAAAGCCUGACCCAGCGACGCCGCGUGAGGGAAGACGGUCUUCGGAUUGUAAACCUCUUUUAUAAGGGACGAAGAAAUGACGGUACCUUAUGAAUAAGCCACGGCUAACUACGUG